rnacentral:rRNA from 1 species
GUCCUACGGGACGCAGCAGUCGAGAAUCAUUCACAAUGGGGGAAACCCUGAUGGUGCGACGCCGCGUGAGUGAAGAAGUAUCUCGGUAUGUAAAGCUCUAUCAGCAGGGAAGAAAAUGGCGGUACCUGACUAAGAAGCCCCGGCUAACUACGUGCCAGCAGCCGCGGUAAUACGUAGGGGGCAAGCGUUAUCCGGAUUUACUGGGUGUAAAGGGAGCGUAGACGGUGUGGCAAGUCUGAAGUGAAAGCCCGGGGCUCAACCCCGGGACUGCUUUGGAAACUGUCAUGCUGGAGUGCUGGAGAGGG